rnacentral:lncRNA from 1 species
UUUUCUUCUUCCUUUUCUUUUUUCCUUUUCUUCUUCCUUUUCUUCUUCCUUUUCUUCUUCCUUUUCUUCUUUUGUUUUUCCUUUUCUUCUUCCUUUUCUUCUUCCUUUUCUUUUUUCCUUUUCUUCUUCCUUUUCUUUUACCUUUUCUUAUUUUCUUUUUCCUUUUCUUAUUCUGUUUUUCCUUUUCUUAUUUUCUUUUUCCUUUUCUUAUUUUCUUUUUCCUUUUCUUAUUUUAUUUUCUUUUUCCUUUUCUUCUUCCUUUU